rnacentral:rRNA from 1 species
UACGUAGGUUGCAAGCGUUGUCCGGAAUUAUUGGGCGUAAAGCGCGCGCAGGCGGUUUCUUGAGUCUGAUGUGAAAGCCCCCGGCUCAACCGGGGAGGGUCAUUGGAAACUGGGGAACUUGAGUACUGAAGAGGAAAGCGGAAUUCCACGUGUAGCGGUGAAGUGCGUAGAGAUGUGGAGGAACACCAGUGGCGAAGGCGGCUUUCUGGUCAGUAACUGACGCUGAGGCGCGAAAGCGUGGGGAGCAAACAGG